CUAGGAAGGCUGACACAUGAUGAGAAGAUUCAGUGGUUCUGAGGUACAGUACUUAAGAUAACCCUGUGAAGGCUGAGAUUGGUAUUUGAAAUUCACAACUGAUCUUGGAGCCUGGUGCAGCAGUCAUGGAUAUGUUCAUGUGUGGAUGCGAUGGAACUGAGGUCACUAGGUUCAUGCUACCUGGAGCAUGAGGCUGACAAAUAGAGAAGCACUGAGUCAAAUGAAUCUUGGAAAAAUGGAGCUAGAAGAAAACCAGAUCCAUUAGACUUCAUUGUCAAUACAUGUGCUGGAACUUGUAACUUGGAUUACAGUAUUAUGAAAUAAUUGGUGAAAUCCACCAAGGAAGACUGAUUCCCUGUGAAGAGUAGAGAGCCAGCAAAAACUGGAGAUAUUGGGCUUAUAUAGAAUCCAGAAAUGGAAGCCUCCUGAAAAUUAAUAUUUUAAAAAUAAGGGAUGCUUGACUUUUUCUUAACAUAAUAAAUGAUGAGGAACUGAAAAAAGAAUUCAAAGAUUCUAUUUCGAAGAUUCUAUUUCAAAGCUUCUUAUGAACAUCUCAAGAUAGUUUUUUGUUUCUAUUUAUUUUCUUUG